GCGGCGAUGGCUCAGUGAGCAAAGUGCCAGGUAAGAAGAUGGCAAUUUUAUUACUCCGAGAGCUACAAAUAUCGGCGCGGGUUCGAAUCCCGCUUGUGGCA